AAACACCAAUACUCAAUGGACAAUACCCUUAUUCACAUUAUUAACCUAUGGACUAAAGCUUAAUACACUCUUUUACCCAAAACAAUUAACCAAUUCCGACGCCAACUCUUUUCUCCCUCUCUCUUUUCUUUCUUUCUUCUUUUUCUUUAUUUUCUCUCUUUCUCUUCUCUCACCACCAUGGAAAAACCUUACUACCUUCUUCAUUGAAACACCAUUUCUCUUUAUAAAACUAAGUAUUUUAGAGAACAAGCACCCUAGUCCACGGAUUUGAAGUUUAUUUCUCAAGGUAAAGCUUUUAAGUAGGGAGAUACCUCCAAAUCUAAAGGAAAAGAAAAGACUCAACCUUGAUUUCGUGGAUUUCCAGCUUUUAAAUCAAGGUUUGUGCUAUUUUCUCAUCUUUAGAUAUUUUUAGGAAUUUUUUUGCAUGAUUUUAUAUUUUUGUGCUCCAAGACUUGACUUUUAUGCUUUAAAUGAGUUCAUCAAUGUUUAAGAUGUCUCAUUUAUGCUAGAAAUAAUUUUUAUGAAAUUUUAGUUUAUGCUUUUCAUAUUGACCGAAUUUAAUAAUAUUUUUUUUAUUUAAAUC